rnacentral:rRNA from 1 species
AUACCAGCACCCCGAGUGGUCGGGACGAUUAUUGGGCCUAAAGCAUCCGUAGCCGGUACUGCAAGUCUUCCGUUAAAUCCGCCUGCUCAACAGUUGGGCUGCGGGGGAUACUACAGCGCUAGGAGGCGGGAGAGGCAAGCGGUACUUAAUGGGUAGGGGUAAAAUCCACUGAUCCAUUGAAGACCACCAGUGGCGAAGGCGGCUUGCCAGAACGCGCUCGACGGUGAGGGAUGAAAGCUGGGGGAGCAAACCGGAUUAGAUACCCGGGUAGUCCCAGCUGUAAACGAUGCAGACUCGGUGAUGGGCUGGCUUUGUGCCAACCCAGUGCCGCAGGGAAGCCGUUAAGUCUGCCGCCUGGGGAGUACGGUCGCAAGACUGAAACUCAAAUGAAUUGGCGGGG